rnacentral:tRNA from 6 species
GGAGAGGUGCCAGAGUGGCCGAUUGGGACAGUCUCGAAAACUGUUGUGGGUGCAAGCCUACCGUGGGUUCGAAUCCCACCCUCUCCGCCA